CUUGAGCAGGGAGGUUGGACUAGAUGACUCACUGUGGUCUUUUCCAACCUUACCCAUUCUGUGAUUCCAUAAUUCUGUGAAAUGUGUACGUUUCAUACAUAAUCUUAAAAUGUCUGUUUCUAGUCAUCAGGAAAGAAAGAUUUCCUCACUAGUAGGUAUGAGAAUUGACAGAAUGAUAUGUGUGCCGAAGACAGAGAAGCAGAAAGAUUGGAGAGCAGGAUUAGGAAAUCCAAUUUUAGGAGAAGAUUCUGUGCCUGGUUCUGCUACAUCAGUGAGCCUGGCCUCCCAUAGCAUAAUGUCCCCUGCCUCCAGAGAGAAAGCUGGAAUAACUGUGACCAGGCUUCUUUCAGCAGGUUAUGAGUCAAUGCACAGGAUUGAGUUGCUCUGGGAAAAUGCCUUGUGAAGGAAGAGACCUGGCAGCAGAAGUUCAAGUUAGAAGGUUACCAGUGUAUCAUCCAUUGUGAACAUGAACCACAGAGCAGCAGGCCAACACCUCUGCCUUCAAGAUAUCUGUUUCACCAGUCCUUCUGUCAUGACUAAGCAACAGCCCCAGAGCCUCCGUGCCUUCCUUCUCAAAGGCUGUCACCUUGUGUCUGUACAGCGGGACUCUGUCCCAGCUGAGACCACUCAGUGCUCCCACUCGAUGGAACACCUUCACCAGCAUGUGUCAGAGCUGUGUCACUUGGGCUGCCACCUUCUUCCACUGCGUGCAGCUCCGGAAGCAAAGCACAAAGAUGCACUGUGACUGUGCUUGUGCAGCCCAGCUCCCCUUCAACUUCCCAGCCAGACAGCUCGGCUUUAGUUUUUACUUAGCAACUGCCUCCUACCCAGAGAAAUCACCUUCUCCUCUUCUCAGAGAGUAGGAUCAAUGCUCUGAGCAUACAUGUUCUUUUUGGUAAAUGAUGCUCCUGCGGAAGAAUAUUUUCAUAAAUUGUGGAGUGGGGCUCAAAGUUGCUGCACUCUCUGGCCAUGAUGUCACAGUCCAGUACAGUGAGACACUGCUGUAAGUGACUUUUUUAAAAAUAACCCAGGAAAACAAAAUAAGAAACCCUGUGGGUGGCCUGAGUCACAAGGGUUGCUAUAUACAGCAUACAUCAAAAUGAAAUAUGGUCACUUUAUUGUAAAUAAAGUGCUUCUGCAGUACCAAAAUGAAGCAAAAUCAAAUCAUUCAAUGUAAAAGUUUGUGCACAACAUACAAUUUCACUGAACUAAUGGAAAACAGAUUUGUUUUUUUUUUUUUUUGACUGCUUCUAGCUGCAACUGUAUAAUGUUGUUUUUUCCAUUUGAAGGUAAAAGAGAAUUUUCAGUAGAGAAAUUAAAUCACCAGCACAGAAACUGCCUGGAUUGCAGCUGGGCCCCAACAUCCCUUCUCUCACUGAAAAAUGUGGUUUGUGUUUUUUACCAGAAGUGGUCAUAUUUUCACAAAUAUUUUUUUCAGAUUUCCCUGAAAGAAACUAGUUCUGCAUCCUAACAUCAUCACUGACCCCUGAUUUAGCAAUGACUCAGGAAGAAGAGUUCCCGCUACUGAUUCUGUGACUAAAGUCCUGGAAUCCUGCAUUGCGGUUGCAUAUAAGCCUCCAGCCCUAACUCAUCUUCACAUUAUUACAGUCCUGAGAGCUGAAAUAAACCUGUCAGAAGGCAGCUGGGCACUGCCCAAGUUUGCUGCCAAUGCUGCUAUUUCAAACCAACAUAAUCUACAUCUAAGCUCAUAAGCUUAAGAAAUGGGUUUCUCUUUUAGGUCACUGAUUGACAAGAGCUUUAAGAAAUAAAGCUGUAAACAUGAUUUAGCCAUUGCUUAGCUAGAAAUGCAGAGUAUGUACCUCUGUAUCUGAUUAUUGGUGGUUAUCCAUCAACCUUCGAACAACUGUUUCGACUAUCUGUGGGUGUACAACUGAGAAAUUUUCUUGCUUUACCCUAUGUUUCCAGAACUCUGCGGGGACAGAGGUAGAAAACAAAACAAUAAUAAAAAAACCAGAAUAAAACCACACAUCAGUGGGUAUCACUGUCAUAAAAUAUUGAUCCUUUAGUAAUCCCUGGGAUUUGACACUGGGUAU
rnacentral:lncRNA from 13 species